GUGAAAUACAAAUCGGACUAGGAAAUAGCUGGUUUUCUGCGAAUCUAUUUUAGUAGAUGAUUUAUUUAUUUUUAUUAGUAGGUAUAGCACUGAAUAUCUAAUAUCAAUAGAAAGGAGUAUGAAAGUACUUACUUUGGAUAUUUAAUCUCAGAAUAACUAAUAAGUUGUAAUAAGUUAUCAGACUUCUUGCGAUAAGGUGAGGAUCCAGGAAGAAUUCCCAAACC
rnacentral:rRNA from 1 species